rnacentral:rRNA from 1 species
UACGAAGGGGGCGAGCGUUGUUCGGAUUUACUGGGCGUAAAGGGCGCGUAGGCGGCCCUCCUAGUCGCGUGUGAAAGCCCCCGGCUCAACGUGGGGAGGUCACGCGAUACUGAUCGACUCGAAGGCAGGAAAGGGAAGUGGAAUUCCCGGUGUAGUGGUGAAAUGCGUAGUAUCGGAGGAACACCAGUGGCGAAGGCGACUUCCUGGCCUGUUCUUGACGCUGAGGCGCGAAAGCUAGGGGAGCAAACGGGG